CAGGGAGCAGUGCAACAAGACAUGUGGUUCCAAUCUGUCUCCUUUCUCACAGCAAGAGUGGGAGCGUUCAUUUAUCUCACUCCACAGCAGGGCAAUAAGCUUGGAUAAAAGUCGAUAUGGGACCCGAUCAGUACUGCUGAUCCCAGUGGAAGGUCUGGCAGCUUCGCAGUGUCAUAUUUCCAAGAAGCAACCUGAGGAGCUUAAAGUGCAAAAACCUGCAUUUCCUCUAGUGGCCACUUGAGGCUGACUUCAAAAUGUGUCUUCCGUCCUGUCUCCCUCAUCUCACUCCCAACCGGUCGCUACAGACAGCGUCCUGCCUGAUCCUGAUUCUGCCAGAAGCUUCUUCAAGUUAAAAGGGAGUUUUUCCUUCCCAAUAUCGCCAAGCGCUUUC